rnacentral:rRNA from 1 species
AAGAUGCCGUAUACCCGCGGCUAGACGGAAAGACCCCGUGAACCUUUACUACAGCUUUACACUGGACUUUGAACAUGCUUGUGUAGGAUAGGUGGGAGACUUUGAAGCGUGGACGCCAGUCUGCGUGGAGUCGCCCUUGAAAUACCACCCUGGUAUGUUUGGGGUUCUAACUCAGGCCCGUUAUCCGGGUCGAGGACAGUGUGUGGU